AUUUUGACAAAACAAGUAUAAUAAUUUUCAAAUGUAUUGUGACAAAGUUCCUCCUCUACCUUGGUGGGUCUUGCACUUAUUGGUGGAUUUGCUCUCCUCGGAGAUUCACGGCUGCCCUCAGUUUGGUCGUUUUUGUGAACCCACAGUCCAGGUCAACUCCUCCUGUGUCUUAUCAGGAGUUGGGAGGUUUGGGGGGAACCCGGGCCCGCCCUCUACUCCGGGUUCCAGCCCAGGGGGCCCUGUGGAAUGCAGCUGUCU